AGCAAGGGAUAUGAACUUUAUGUCACUUGUCCUGUACCAUCCAUGUUACUUUGAUCCUGAAGAAGGACUUUCUCACUGGCAUCAGAAGUUUUCUUGUGGAAAAGAUGGUGAGAUGUUGGCCAGAUCAUCACACAGUUGUGAAUUUAGAACUCCUGGAAUGGCUUGACCAAAAGUUCGUGUUUUGAUACAGACUUGAAA